CGGGGAAUGCUGGGAUAGUGGAGGUCCACCCUGCGCUUCCUCCGGGUUUAGCAAUACGUCAGAGUUAGAGAUGCAUCAUUUUGUGCUUUUAGUUUAUCUGGACUCUCUGAAUUGACAAAUUUGGCAUCCGGGAAGAAAUGGUGAGGGACUGCUAAAUGCCUGAUAUCUGGAGGAAGGACUGAUUUCAAAGUCACCUUCAUUUUGACCUCAGGAAGUUACAGCUAAUUAGCCAACCAUGAAGAACUGAGGAGACAGGUCUACUCAUCAAGUCUCUAGGAUGUCCUUUCAGGCAGACAUUAAAGAAACAUCAGCUGUGUUCCAAGCACUGGAGAUACAGAGAUGAGCAAGUCCUGGCCUUCAAGAACAUAUUAUCAGAAAAGAGAUUGAAGACUUUUUAAAUGAUAUGAUUGCCUGUGUUUUCCCAUUGUAUGGAUAUUUUAUAGAUGCAAAAACAAAGUAAGUUUGUGUGUAAUCCAUCCAAAAUUAUAUGGAAUAAGUGAG